rnacentral:rRNA from 1 species
UACGUAGGGUGCGAGCGUUGUCCGGAAUUAUUGGGCGUAAAGGGCUCGUAGGCGGUUUGUCGCGUCGGGAGUGAAAAUCCAGGGCUUAACUCUGGACUGGCUUCCGAUACGGGCAGACUAGAGGUAUGCAGGGGAGAACGGAAUUCCUGGUGUAGCGGUGAAAUGCGCAGAUAUCAGGAGGAACACCGGUGGCGAAGGCGGUUCUCUGGGCAUUACCUGACGCUGAGGAGCGAAAGCGUGGGGAGCAGACAGG